GACGAACGCUGGCGGCGUGCUUAACACAUGCGAGUCGAACGGAAAGGCCCUGCCUGUGCGGGGUGCUCGAGUGGCGAAGGGGUGAGUAACUGGGGAGCAACCUGCUAUGGACUUUGGGAUAAGUUGAGGAAACUGGGGCUAAUACCGAAUAGGAGCGCCCGCGGGAGGGUGGGGGUUGGAAGGAUUCGGCGGUUGGGGGCGGACACGCGGCUUAGCAGCUUGGCGGUGGGGGAGUGGCUUACGAAGGCGUUGACGGGAAGCCGGCCUGAGAGGGUGACUGGCGCCAGUGGGACACGGAAGCGGCCCAGACGCCUACGGGAGGCAGCAGUGAAGAAUAUAGCACAAUGGGCGGAAUCCUGAUGCAGCAACGCCGCGUGCGGGAUGACUGCCUUCGGGUUGUAAACCGCUUGAGCCUAUGACGAAGCGUAGGUGACGGUAAUGUGUAAGGAAGCACCGGCUAACUACGUG
rnacentral:rRNA from 1 species